rnacentral:tRNA from 6 species
UCGGGCUGUGGCGCAGCUUGAUAGCGCAUCCGCUUUGGGAGCGGACGGUCGCACGUUCGAAUCGCGUCACCCGAU